UACGUAGGGUGCAAGCGUUAUUCGGAAUUAUUGGGCGUAAAGGGCGCGUAGGCGGCUGCACAAGUGGCGGGUGAAAUCCCUCGGCUUAACCGAGGAACUGCCUGCCAGACUGUGUGGCUUGAGACCGGGAGAGGUGAGUGGAAUUCCCAGUGUAGCGGUGAAAUGCGUAGAUAUUGGGAGGAACACCAGUGGCGAAGGCGGCUCACUGGACCGGAACUGACGCUGAGGCGCGAAAGCGUGGGGAGCAAACAGG
rnacentral:rRNA from 1 species